AACCAUUCUCACCUGCGGCUAGACCUGCGGAGGGAUCAUUACCGAGUUUACAACUCCCAAACCCAUGUGAACAUACCUAUCGUUGCUUCGGCGGGAUCGCCCCGGGCGCCUCGUGUGCCCCGGAUCCGGCGCCCGCCUAGGAACCUUAACUCUUGUUUUAUUUUGGAAUCUUCUGAGUAGUUUUUACAAAUAAAUAAAAACUUUCAACAACGGAUCU
rnacentral:misc_RNA from 1 species